rnacentral:rRNA from 1 species
CCUACGGGUGGCAGCAGUGAGGAAUAUUGGUCAAUGGCCGAGAGGCUGAACCAGCCAAGUCGCGUGAGGGAAGAAUGUCCUAUGGAUUGUAAACCUCUUUUGUCAGGGAGCAAAGUCACCCACGUGUGGGUGUUGGAGAGUACCUGAAGAAAAAGCAUCGGCUAACUCCGUGCCAGCAGCCGCGGUAAUACGGAGGAUGCGAGCGUUAUCCGGAUUUAUUGGGUUUAAAGGGUGCGUAGGCGGGUUAUCAAGUCAGCGGUAAAAUCGUGGAGCUCAACUCCAUCCAGCCGUUGAAACUGAUGAUCUUGAGUGGGCGAGAAGUAUGCGGAAUGCGUGGUGUAGCGGUGAUAUGCAUAGAUAUCACGAAGAACCCCGAUUGCGAAGGCAGCCUGCCGCAGCGUUACUGACGCUGAAGCUCGAAAGCGCGGGUAUCGAACAGGAGUAGAUACCCCUGUAGGC